AAUACCCCUAUCUUAACAGCUUCUCCCCUGAACCCUAGCUUCUCCACCACCGCCGCAAGGACUGCCGCCGUCCGUCGCUCUCAGACACUACCAUCGUCGUCUGGUCGUCCGUGCUUCUUCCUCCUUCAAGAAUCGCAGCUUCUUCUUCCUCGACCUCGGCGCAUCAGUUCCUGGUAUUCAUUUGCUCCAUCGCGCUCCUGCCGCCGUCCGUCGAGCGCUCAGUCACCAUCGUCUUCGUCUGGUCGUCGCAUAUUCUUCCAACCCACCACUGUCUUUUGAGUUGUGUUCGUCACCUGGCCUCUGUCUCCGUCACGAUUCUGCCCCCCUCUUCUCAGACUGCUCAUUGGAAAAACCAAGAACAAAAUCUUAGACUUCGACGGUCAGUAUGUAACCGAAGCCAUGCAUCAUAUCCCUCCAACUCCUUCCAUGGCUGCUGCAAGAGAAGAAUUUGAGAAUGUUAUGUUUGGUGCUUUGGAUAAUCUCUUUACUAAUACAAAGAUUAAGCCUAAGGAUAUUGGUGUUCUUGUUGUGAAUUGCAGUUUGUUUAACCCAACUUCUUCAUUUUCUGCAAUGAUUGUGAACAAGUACAAGCUUAGGGGUAACAUUAGAAGCUUCAAUUUGGGUGGUAUGGGUUGUAGUGCAGGAGUUAUAGCCAUUGAUCUUGCUAAGGACAUGCUUCAAGUUCAUAGGAACACUUAUGCUGUUGUUGUUAGCACUGAGAACAUUACUCAGAAUUGGUACUUUGGGAACAAGAAAUCUAUGCUGAUCCCAAAUUGUUUGUUCCGUGUUGGUGGUUCUGCUGUUUUGUUGUCCAACAAAGGCUCUGUUAAGAGAAGAGCAAAGUACAAGCUUGUUCAUGUUGUGAGGACAAAUAAGGCUGUUAGAAGAUUUUUCCGAUCAAGUUUUGAACAUUUGAGUUUCCAGGGCAUGAGGUAGAUAGAUGCUUGCUUUCUCACUUGUGAGACAAACAUUAAAGGAACUUACAUAUGUUAAAGAAUUUGGUAGCCAAGACUAGUGAAGCUGAUUGCUUCCUUGACUGGACUCAGAAUGGAAAUGAAUCCUUUCAAGUGCACCUCAGAUGGCUGAUAUGGCUAGAACAAUUUCGAGAGAUUCUGACAAGCACCAAAAAAAGUGUGUUGCAUGUCAGUGGUUUUUCUUCAAUUGUAGCAAUUGGAAUGCAACAGAAACGUUAAUCUAGAACCAGGGGGCUUCACUCUUUUUUAUUUUGUUUUAGAGCCAUAAGUAAAUGCAAACUCUUAAGUAAAUAAAUUCAGGUCCACUUUGAUAUGAUGCACAAAAUCUGCUCCUUUUUUUCUUUCCUGGUAAUAUUUUGAUCUAUUGACUCUAGAAAAGAGGGGAGAAGUUUAAUAUGCACAAGUACUCUCAAACAUGUUACAUACUAAGGAUGGGCACUGACUCAAAAAGAGGAACCCAAUAUUCCGCUUUGUUUUGUAAUUUAUUCUUUCUUUGUUAUUUUCCUGUUGUGCCUUAUAGUUUAAACAAUUUGAUGCUUAAUAGGAUCAAAAUUGUUAUGAGCUUUCAGCUGAGUAUGAAGGGAAGCAUAAGACUGAGAAGUUGGAGGAACUUGGGAAUAUGCUAACUGGUCUUGAUGCUGGGGAUUCUAUUGUCAUUGCCAAAUCAUUUUCCCACAUGCUUAAUUUGGCUAACUUGGCAAAAGAAGUUCAAAUUGCCUACCGAAAAAGUUCAAAUUUGGCCCUUCCGCAAGGCACUUCAAUGAUUCACCUUCUUCAAUCCACACACAAGAUAACUUUAGUUAAACAGAUUUCUUUUGUUGCUGACAGUUAUUAGUUAGUAGUGUGGUCCGUUACUGACAUUUGCAGACUUAGAGUUAGUUAUUAGUUAGUUAGGAAAAUUGUUACUAGUUCAUUUUGGGUACAGACUGAUACCUUGUUCCUUAUUGUUCUCCGAA